rnacentral:rRNA from 1 species
AUGGCGGCGAGGGCGCUUGGGCUCGCCGGCCGAGCGCUCCUGCGGCCGCUCUCCUCGCCGGGCGCGCAGCGGCUGCUGUCCAGUGACAAGGUACGCUCACCAGCUCCCCAUCCCUCCCUCCCUUCCAUUGCAUUUCCCCGCAAGAAACCCGAUACAGAUCCAUCUAACUCGCAACACGAUGGUAGCCAGGGCCCACUGGAGGGCCUCGUGAACGCCGGUGAUCCGAUGAGCCGCCUCAUCAUGCAAGCACGGAACCAGACUGGCGGCGGUUUUUCCCCUCAAUUCGCUGAGAACGGGUUCACAGCAGGUGGUUUCAGGAUGGGUGGUAAUGGAUUUACAGCCGGUGGUGGCAGGAUGGCUGGAAACGGAUUCACAGCCGGUGAUGGCAGGAUGGGUGUAAACGGAUUCACAGCCGGUGAUAGCAGGAUGGGCGGAAUUGGAUUCACAGCCGGUGGUGCCAGGAUGGGUGGAAACGGAUUCACAGCCGGUGGUGGCAGGUCGGGCCGGUUUAACAUGGAAAUGCUGCGGCCAGCAGGGGCUCCGCGAGUGAAGAGGGACGUUCUCCACGUCACGCUCAAGGGGAAGAAGACCUUUGUGACAGUGACGGACGUCAAGGGGAACAGGAAGGCUGGGGCUUCCGCUGGCUGCUUGGAGGAUCGAAAGGGGCGGUCUCGUCUUGCUCGGUAUGCCGGUGAAGCAACAGGGGAGCACAUGGGGCGAGUCGCCAGCAAGAUUGGCCUCAAGUCGGUCGUCGUGAAGGUGAAAGGAUACUCCUUUUUCAGGAAGAAGAAGAAGGUGAUCAUGGGCUUUGCGGAUGGUUUCCGGGGCGAAAGAGUGAGGACCCCGUCUCCUAUCAUGUACGUCCACGACGUGACCCAGCUCGCGCAUAAUGGAUGCCGGCUGCCCAAAAAGGUAAGGAAGUAA